CCUGGCGGCAAUAGCGAGUUGGCACCACCGGUUCCCAUCCCGAACACCGAAGUGAAACGACUCAGCGCCGAUGGUAGUGUGGCUUGCCCAUGUGAGAGUAGGACACUGCCAGGC
rnacentral:rRNA from 1 species